rnacentral:rRNA from 1 species
CUCAGAGUGAACGCUGGCGGUAGGCCUAACACAUGCAAGUCGAACGGCAGCACAGUAAGAGCUUGCUCUUAUGGGUGGCGAGUGGCGGACGGGUGAGGAAUACAUCGGAAUCUACCUUUUCGUGGGGGAUAACGUAGGGAAACUUACGCUAAUACCGCAUACGACCUUCGGGUGAAAGCAGGGGACCUUCGGGCCUUGCGCGGAUAGAUGAGCCGAUGUCGGAUUAGCUAGUUGGCGGGGUAAAGGCCCACCAAGGCGACGAUCCGUAGCUGGUCUGAGAGGAUGAUCAGCCACACUGGAACUGAGACACGGUCCAGACUCCUACGGGAGGCAGCAGUGGGGAAUAUUGGACAAUGGGCGCAAGCCUGAUCCAGCCAUACCGCGUGGGUGAAGAAGGCCUUCGGGUUGUAAAGCCCUUUUGUUGGGAAAGAAAAGCAGUCGAUUAAUACUCGGUUGUUCUGACGGUACCCAAAGAAUAAGCACCGGCUAACUUCGUGCCAGCAGCCGCGGUAAUACGAAGGGUGCAAGCGUUACUCGGAAUUACUGGGCGUAAAGCGUGCGUAGGUGGUUGUUUAAGUCUGUUGUGAAAGCCCUGGGCUCAACCUGGGAAUUGCAGUGGAUACUGGACGACUAGAGUGUGGUAGAGGGUAGUGGAAUUCCCGGUGUAGCAGUGAAAUGCGUAGAGAUCGGGAGGAACAUCCAUGGCGAAGGCAGCUA